AGCUGAGCUAAUCUGACUCCAGAUCCUCAACAGUUCCCUCCCAAUCUUCUCGGCCGUAAGGCAGAGGGACUGGGAUUUCAAAGCUCUGCUCCUCCACAUGUCAACAGAGUGACCGUGGAGAAUGUAGGAGCUACCUUAAGCAAGAAAUGUUUUACUAUCAUGUACUUAAAUAGUAUACCUAAUUUCAAUACUAAAGCAAAAUCAAAAGUUGAUAAAGAUUAGCCACAUCACACAAUAAAACUUUAAAGUUUCUUUUA